ACAAAAUGCCUUUAGCUUGAUUUAUGGACUUGUUGUGACCUGUUUACUGUAGAAGACAUCAUGCCAUGCACCCAGGCUCCAACCUCAACCUUCAGCCGCCUUGCCAUCAUGAACCAGGCAGCCUUCCUUGACUCAGACUGAAGGACAGCUAUCGGGUCAACACAGCAUACCACUCUGUCUGGGCUUACUUCCUCCACGCACUGUAGGCCUAUGAUGACUGCCAUCACUUGGGCUGUAUAAACUGACAGCUGAUCAGAUCUCACUGACUCCUUGGGCCCAUGAAGAGGCUGGGUGGCCCCUCAUUAAGCACAGUCUGGAUUACAGCUCCUGGCCAAGGCUAUUUCCAACAACAUGCUAGUGCAUUGUAAUGAUCCUCUUUGUGUGCUGCGCAAACGCACUCAAUCUCCCACUUUAAUCACCAAGGAGGAGAUGGGCUACUCCUCCAGCCCUCAACAGGAGCAGUGAGAGGAAAGUGGGAUUUGCAAGUUCCUCCAUCCUCUGAUGACACAUAAUCUCCUUGUGAGAUAAGUGUUCUGUCACAAAGCUCUGAUUGACAUGAUGGAGGGAGUUAGAAGCAAAAGCUAGGAGAAAAGCUGAAAUGAUUCACGGGGGUGGUGAUCUUUUGUCUGUCUGAUCAUUCUGUCCGCCGUGUAGCUGCAGAUCAUCAGUAUGUCAAAGAGCUUAGAGGGAGAUUCAGGACAUUGUGGGCAGUUUAUAUGGUGUGUUGUCUUCUGCACGUACG